AGUUCACUGUCAAACAACCGACUGGAUUCAAGCCCUAGCCCCUCAGCUCGGAAUGACUUGUGGAAAUCCUCGAAAACUAGUAUUUCUCAACUCACCAGUCUUAACACAGAAAUGUGGCAUCCAUCCAGGCCUCAGUUUGUUUGCACUUUGUUAGCUCUUGUCAUUCAGCUUCCUCUCUCCUCUCAUCUUGUCUCUCUGUAA
rnacentral:rRNA from 1 species